rnacentral:rRNA from 1 species
UACUCGAGUGGCGAACGGGUGAGUAACACGUGGGUGAUCUGCCCUGCACUCUGGGGUAAGCCUGGGAAACUGGGUCUAAUACCGGAUAGGACCAUGCUUUAGUGUGUGUGGUGGAAAGUUUUUCGGUGUAGGAUGAGCCCGCGGCCUAUCAGCUUGUUGGUGGGGUAAUGGCCUACCAAGGCGGCGACGGGUAGCCGGACUGAGAGGUUGGUCGGCCGCAUUGGGACUGAGAUACGGCCCAG